UCCUACUUGGAUAGCUGUGGUAAUUCUAGAGGUAAUACAUGCAUUAAAGCUCUGACCUCACGGGAAGAGUGCAUAUAUUAGAACAAAACCAAGCGGCUUCGGCUGUUUCUGGUUGACUCAUAGUAACUGAGCUGAUCGCAUGGUCUUGCACCGGCGACGUGUCUUUCAAGUAUCUGCCGUAUCAACUUUCGAUGGUAGUGUAUCUGACUACCAUGGUGAUCACGCGUAACGGAGAAUAAGGGUUCGGCUCCGGAGAGUUCGCCUGAGAAAUCGCGAACACAUCUAAGGAAGGCAGCAGGCGCGAAAAUUACCCACUCUCAGCACGAGGAGGUAGUGCCGAAAAAUAACGAGACCGUUCUCUUUCGAGGCCGGUCAUCGGAAUGGGUACAAUUUAAACCCUUUAACGAGUAUCUAUGAGAGGGCAAGUCUGGUGCCAG
rnacentral:rRNA from 1 species